UGGGGAAUAUUGCAAAAUGGGCGCAAGCCUGAUGCAGCCAUGCCGCGUGUAUGAAGAAGGCCUUCGGGUUGUAAAGUACUUUCAGCGGGGAGGAAGGGAGUAAAGUUAAUACCUUUGCUCAUUGACGUUACCCGCAGAAGAAGCACCGGCUAACUCCGUGCCAGCAGCCGCGGUAAUACGGAGGGUGCAAGCGUUAAUCGGAAUUACUGGGCGUAAAGCGCACGCAGGCGGUUUGUUAAGUCAGAUGUGAAAUCCCCGGGCUCAACCUGGGAACUGCAUCUGAUACUGGCAAGCUUGAGUCUCGUAGAGGGGGGUAGAAUUCCAGGUGUAGCGGUGAAAUGCGUAGAGAUCUGGAGGAAUACCGGUGGCGAAGGCGGCCCCCUGGACGAAGACUGACGCUCAGGUGCGAAAGCGUGGGGAGCAAACAGG
rnacentral:rRNA from 1 species